rnacentral:rRNA from 1 species
AGAGUUUGAUCCUGGCUCAGAUUGAACGCUGGCGGCAGGCCUAACACAUGCAAGUCGAACUGUAGCAGGAAGUGCUUGCACUUUGCUGACGAGUGGCGGACGGGUGAGUAAUGCUUGGGAACUUGCCUUUAGGUGGGGGAUAACAGUUGGAAACGACUGCUAAUACCGCAUAAUGUCUACGGACCAAAGGGGGCUUCGGCUCUCGCCUUGAGAGAGGCCCAAGUGAGAUUAGCUAGUUGGUGGGGUAAAGGCCUACCAAGGCAACGAUCUCUAGCUGUUCUGAGAGGAAGAUCAGCCACACUGGGACUGAGACACGGCCCAGACUCCUACGGGAGGCAGCAGUGGGGAAUAUUGCACAAUGGGGGAAACCCUGAUGCAGCCAUGCCGCGUGUGUGAAGAAGGCCUUCGGGUUGUAAAGCACUUUCAGUUGUGAGGAAAGGUUGGUAGUUAAUACCUGCCAGCUGUGACGUUAACAACAGAAGAAGCACCGGCUAACUCCGUGCCAGCAGCCGCGGUAAUACGGAGGGUGCGAGCGUUAAUCGGAAUUACUGGGCGUAAAGCGCACGCAGGCGGUUUGUUAAGCUAGAUGUGAAAGCCCCGGGCUCAACCUGGGAUGGUCAUUUAGAACUGGCAGACUAGAGUCUUGGAGAGGGGAGUGGAAUUCCAGGUGUAGCGGUGAAAUGCGUAGAUAUCUGGAGGAACAUCAGUGGCGAAGGCGGCUCCCUGGCCAAAGACUGACGCUCAUGUGCGAAAGUGUGGGUAGCGAACAGGAUUAGAUACCCUGGUAGUCCACACCGUAAACGCUGUCUACUAGCUGUUUGUGAAUUUAAUUCGUGAGUAGCGAAGCUAACGCGCUAAGUAGACCGCCUGGGGAGUACGGCCGCAAGGUUAAAACUCAAAGGAAUUGACGG